rnacentral:sRNA from 1 species
AGCGCGACCGGGUCGACCGCGCGGGUGACCGUCAGAUAAUCGCGGAUCGCGACGGCGUGUCGGCCCUC